rnacentral:rRNA from 1 species
AUGCACGCUGGCGGCGUGCUUCACACAUGCCGGUCGAACGGUGAAGGCGGAGCUUGCUCUGCUGGAUCAGUGGCGAACGGGUGAGUAACACGUGAGCAAUCUGCCCCUGACUCUGGGAUAAGCGCUGGAAACGGCGUCUAAUACUGGAUACGAGCUGCGAAGGCAUCUUCAGCAGCUGGAAAGAACUUCGGUCAGGGAUGAGCUCGCGGCCUAUCAGCUUGUUGGUGAGGUAACGGCUCACCAAGGCGUCGACGGGUAGCCGGCCUGAGAGGGUGACCGGCCACACUGGGACUGAGACACGGCCCAGACUCCUACGGGAGGCAGCAGUGGGGAAUAUUGCACAAUGGGCGAAAGCCUGAUGCAGCAACGCCGCGUGAGGGACGACGGCCUUCGGGUUGUAAACCUCUUUUAGCAGGGAAGAAGCGAAAGUGACGGUACCUGCAGAAAAAGCGCCGGCUAACUACGUG